GGAUGUGAGGGCGAUCUGUCUACAGCAUCUAUCAUCCAUCCCAUUGAUCACUGGAGUUGAUUAGGCUGAUCUGGCAGGUUAGGCAGGUGGCCCUUUCCACCCACGCACUCUGUGUGCACCCUUCCUGAAGCAGCAUUCUCAGGCCAAGAGGAUGACUUUCCUUGGUUGAGGAGGGUUGUUCUUUGGUCAGAGAUGUACUAGAAGUAGCUAUAUUCCCCUGAUAGAGGAGAGUGAAUACAAGCUCUCAGACAGUGGGUCCAAAAUUGACAUCAGAAUCUUUUUAUUAAAAGACGCUUUAUGU
rnacentral:snRNA from 1 species